AUCUGAUGAUGAGGGAAACUGGCACACAACCGCUUGAACCUCUCCCAAUACUCAUACAAUGACUCCCCUAAAUAUUUCCUUAUACCAUAGAUCUCUUUUCUGAUGCU